UUGGAGGGCAAGUCUGGUGCCAGCAGCCGCGGUAAUUCCAGCUCCAAUAGCGUAUAUUAAAGUUGUUGCAGUUAAAAAGCUCGUAGUUGAAUUUCGGGAUCAAUUUAUUGGUCGUGCUAUUGUACGUACUGGUAUUAUUGAUUCCUACCUUCUGACGAACCAUGAUGUCAUUAAUUUGGUGUCAUGGGGAAUCAGGACUGUUACUUUGAAAAAAUUAGAGUGUUUAAAGCAGGCUACGACUGUAUACUAUAGUACAUGAGUA
rnacentral:rRNA from 1 species